rnacentral:rRNA from 1 species
CCCUUAGAUGUCCGGGGCUGCACGCGCGCUACACUGAAGGAAUCAGCGUACUAAAACCAUUGUCGAAAGGCAUUGGUAAACCCAUUAAAAUCCUACGUGAUUGGGAUCGGGAAUUGCAAUUAUUUCCCUUGAACGAGGAAUUCCCAGUAAGUGUGGGUCAUAAGCUCGCGUUGAUUACGUCCCUGCCCUUUGUACACACCGCCCGUCGCUGCCCGGGACUGAGCCGUUUCGAGAAAAGCGGGGACUGCUGCUGUCGGGGCUUUCGGGCCUUGGCUUCGGUGGAAACCGCUUUAAUCGCAGUGGCUUGAACCGGGCAAAAGUCGUAACA